UCAGCAACCUGCCGGGAGAUGUUCCACAGCCAGCUUUCUCCACAAGAGCCAGGUUACAGUGUCUGUAUAUGACAGCAACUGAAGCAAAAGCUUUUGUCUUUUAAAACAGAGUAGUUCACGUACAGCACAGUAGACUCCAACCUGAAACCAUUUAAUAUCAGACUCUGAGCAAAAAGCCAUUUGUAACAGAGGAGCCAUAAACCAUGAUAUUAUUUGCCACAUACCAGCGAGAUGGUCUGUUCAUACCAUUUAUGGAUCAGUGAAAGGAAGAAAGCAGUGGAUUGACAACAGUAACAUGGAAGGCAUCAUUUAUUUUUCUUACCUGCUAUAAGAGGUCUGAAUUCUGACUUCAUUUAGUUGAGCACAAAGCCAAUGAUGUGUCAGGCUGGACUACUUGCUCUGCCUUGUCUUCUUUUUAAGCUGUGGACAAGACUGGAAGUUAAUACAACAGAGAGAGACCAAGGCACAAUUACAGCUGUCUCACUUGUGUACCACUCAAUGCAGAUGUUUUCAAAUCUGCCCAUUUGCCCGUAUGCAAGUGCUUAAUUUCGGUACACACAAAAAUGCUCAUGCAGGAAUGUAUCCCCUCCACACCCCAAAGUAUGUACACACAAAUUCAGCAGAUUAUGAGAUUAGAAUGUGCCCAUCUGAACGUCUAUCUUUUGAGGGUCUGUCCAUUUGCUUUUUGCUUUGAUACUGCUCUUCAGCUUUUGUGCUGCAAGCUUGUAAACGCAUGCUAGGUGGAGGUGCUCCAGUUACACCACCUAACUAUUGCUUCUCCCUUAAAACCAUGCACGUUGGUUGCUAUUCACUUCGCAAAUUGCUCUGGAUUUGAUAAAUGCAACUUUUUGUGUGGAACAAAUUUUGAAAGAUUAUCUUCAUGCACAUUUUUAAACUUCAAGGGUGAGUUCUCCAGAAAAUUAUUUAUUUGUUUUAAUGUUAUUUAGCAUCUAUGAACUUAACAUCAUUUCAUAGGUAUCAUUCACUAGUGAAUUCAUGAAUAAUGAUUUAGCUUUUUAUUAAUGCUUUCGUUUCACAGAAGCAGAUCUGAGAUGCAGGUAUCUGAAAGAAGGGUUAUUAUUUUUAGAAAGGUUCACUCUGUAGAAGAACUCAGCUGCUGAGAGCUCAGCUCUUCUAAAAAAUCUGUCUACAAGGGUCAGAAAAAAGCUAUUAAAAUGCCCGACACCUA